rnacentral:rRNA from 1 species
AGGGUAUGCAUACCCUCUUGUAUGUACCAUAUGAAUAAGGAUCGGCUAACUCCGUGCCAGCAGCCGCGGUAAUACGGAGGAUCCGAGCGUUAUCCGGAUUUAUUGGGUUUAAAGGGAGCGUAGGUGGAUUGUUAAGUCAGUUGUGAAAGUUUGCGGCUCAACCGUAAAAUUGCAGUUGAAACUGGCAGUCUUGAGUACAGUAGAGGUGGGCGGAAUUCGUGGUGUAGCGGUGAAAUGCUUAGAUAUCACGAAGAACUCCGAUUGCGAAGGCAGCUCACUGGACUGCAACUGACACUGAUGCUCGAAAGUGUGGGUAUCAAACAGGAUUAGAUACCCUGGUAGUCCACACAGUAAACGAUGAAUACUCGCUGUUUGCGAUAUACAGUAA